AUUGCUUACACCAAUAUAAUGCCUGUUAAACUCUGGCUGUCUCAAGCUGAAAAUCUAGCCCCCCUAACCCCCACACCUCAAUUAAAAACUAAAAUAUUUUUAUAACAGAGUAAAGACGAUUGAAAAACUAGCAAGAGCAAUAAAAAUGUACCGCAAGGGAUAAUUGAAAUAGAAAUGAAACAAAUCUAAAGCCUUAAAAAGUAGAGCUCAUCUCUCGUACCUUUUGCAUCAUGGUUUAACUAGUUUAAUUAAGCAAAACGACUUAAAGUUUAACUCCCCGAAACUAAGUGAGCUACUUCAGGACAGCCCAAGGGCCAACCCCCCGACGUUGUAAAGUCGCGGGAAGAUCCUGAAGUAGAGGUGAUAUACCUAACGAACUU
rnacentral:rRNA from 1 species